rnacentral:rRNA from 1 species
GACGAACGCUGGCGGCGUGCUUAACACAUGCAAGUCGAACGGAAAGGCCCUGCUUUUGUGGGGUGCUCGUGUGGCGAACGGGUGAGUAACACGUGAGUAACCUGCCCUUGACUUUGGGAUAACUUCAGGAAAAUGGGGCUAAUACCGGAUAGGAGCUCCUGAUGCAUGGUGGGGGUUGGAAAGUUUCGGCGGUUGGGGCUGGACUCGCGGCUUCUCAGCUUGUUUGUGGGGUAGUGGCUUACCAAGCCUUUGACGGGUAGCCGGCCUUGGAGGGUGACCGGCCACAUGGGGACUAAGAUACGCCCCAGACUCCUACGGGACGCAGCAGUGGGGAAUAUUGCACAAUGGGCGGAAGCCUGAUGCAGCAACGCCGCGAUCGGGAUGACGUCCUUCGGGUUGUAAACCGCUUUCGCCUGUGCCGAAGCGUGAUUGACGGUAAUGGGUAAAGAAGCACCGGCUAACUACGUG